GGAUGAAGAACGCAGCGAAAUGCGAUAAGUAAUGUGAAUUGCAGAAUUCAGUGAAUCAUCGAAUCUUUGAACGCACAUUGCGCCCCCUGGUAUUCCGGGGGGCAUGUCCGUCCGAGCGUCAUUAUACCCUCAAGCCUCGGCUUGGUGUUGGGCCUGUCGUCCGUUGCGGCGAGCCUCAAACGCAGCGAUCGGCGUGCCUGGUGCCUCAAGCGAAGUAGUUAAUCAUGCGCUUUGGAGGUGCCGGUGCGUCUGAGCACCCUCUAACCUUUUGGUUGACCUCGGAUCGGGCAGGGAUACCCGCUGAACUUAAGCAUAUCAAUAAGCGGAGGA
rnacentral:misc_RNA from 1 species